ACAGCAGUGCAAGUCACAGUUCUCACAAAUGUAUCAGCCUCUACUGUUAGUGUUGCUGGCCAGAGUGAAGGCAAAGGGAGCUCGACUGCAGCAGUCUCUGUAGUAUCUCUGUGCGUCAUCAUAACCUUGAUCGUGUUUGGGAUUCUGUAUCUGAGAAAACGAAAACUGAGCAAAACCACUAGCCAAAUUGAAUUAAACCGGAAUUCCUUAUAUUUUCUUCAGGAUUCUGUAUAUUACUCUCAGAUUUCAGAUGGGCCCCAAUUCCCACUAUAUUAUUUGUUGGACAAUAAUACAGAUGCAACGACUACCUUUGUUGCUGAACAAACAGAAGCUACUGCAUGUGGAAAUGUUGACCAACCUGUAACAAAAUGUAGUUGUUAAUGUUUUCACUUGUUUUAUUUUGACAUUCAAAUCUCGUUGUGUACUUUAACUUCUGACUUACUAAUGCUGUGCAAUCUUUCAAAAGCUGUAAUAAAGAAUAAAAAGUC